UGAGGUUGUGGCUCAGAGGUAGAACGCUCGCCUAACAUGCGUGAGGCACUGGGUUCGAUCCUCAGCACCACAA
rnacentral:tRNA from 1 species